GACAGAGGGUGCAAACGUUGUUCGGAUUUACUGGGCGUAAAGCGCGUGUAGGCGGCUUUGCAAGUCGGAUGUGAAAGCCCACGGCUCAACCGUGGAAGUGCAUCCGAAACUGCAUGGCUGGAGUCUCGGAGAGGAAGGUGGAAUGCUUGGUGUAGAGGUGAAAUUCGUAGAUAUCAAGCAGAACACCUGCGGCGAAGGCGGCUCACUGGCCCGGUACUGACGCUGAGGUGCGAAAGCGUGGGGAGCAAACAGG
rnacentral:rRNA from 1 species